AUGAACGCUGGCGGCGUGCUUAACACAUGCAAGUCGAACGAAGCACUUUAUUUGAUUUCCUUCGGGACUGAUUAUUUUGUGACUGAGUGGCGGACGGGUGAGUAACGCGUGGGUAACCUGCCUUGUACAGGGGGAUAACAGUUGGAAACGGCUGCUAAUACCGCAUAAGCGCACGGCAUCGCAUGAUGCAGUGUGAAAAACUCCGGUGGUAUAAGAUGGACCCGCGUUGGAUUAGCUAGUUGGUGAGGUAACGGCCCACCAAGGCGACGAUCCAUAGCCGACCUGAGAGGGUGACCGGCCACAUUGGGACUGAGACACGGCCCAAACUCCUACGGGAGGCAGCAGUGGGGAAUAUUGCACAAUGGGCGAAAGCCUGAUGCAGCGACGCCGCGUGAGCGAAGAAGUAUUUCGGUAUGUAAAGCUCUAUCAGCAGGGAAGAUAAUGACGGUACCUGACUAAGAAGCACCGGCUAAAUACGUGCCAGCAGCCGCGGUAAUACGUAUGGUGCAAGCGUUAUCCGGAUUUACUGGGUGUAAAGGGAGCGCAGGCGGUGCGGCAAGUCUGAUGUGAAAGCCCGGGGCUCAACCCCGGUACUGCAUUGGAAACUGUCGUACUAGAGUGUCGGAGGGGUAAGCGGAAUUCCUAGUGUAGCGGUGAAAUGCGUAGAUAUAUGGAGGAACACCAGUGGCGAAAGCGGCUCUCUGGUCUGUCACUGACGCUGAGGCUCGAAAGCGUGGGUAGCGAACAGGAUUAGAUACCCUGGUAGUCCACGCCGUAAACGAUGAGUGCUAGGUGUUAGGCCCUUUCCGGGGCUUAGUGCCGGAGCUAACGCAAUAAGCACUCCGCCUGGGGAGUACGACCGCAAGGUUGAAACUCAAAGGAAUUGACGGGGGCCCGCACAAGCGGUGGAGCAUGUGGUUUAAUUCGAAGCAACGCGAAGAACCUUACCAAGGCUUGACAUUGAUUGAACGCUCUAGAGAUAGAGAUUUCCCUUCGGGGACAAGAAAACAGGUGGUGCAUGGCUGUCGUCAGCUCGUGUCGUGAGAUGUUGGGUUAAGUCCCGCAACGAGCGCAACCCUUAUCUUUAGUAGCCAGCGGUCAGGCCGGGCACUCUAGAGAGACUGCCAGGGAUAACCUGGAGGAAGGCGGGGAUGACGUCAAAUCAUCAUGCCCCUUAUGACUUGGGCUACACACGUGCUACAAUGGCGUAAACAAAGGGAAGCAAAGCUGUGAAGCCGAGCAAAUCUCAAAAAUAACGUCUCAGUUCGGACUGUAGUCUGCAACCCGACUACACGAAGCUGGAAUCGCUAGUAAUCGCAGAUCAGAAUGCUGCGGUGAAUACGUUCCCGGGUCUUGUACACACCGCCCGUCACACCAUGGGAGUUGGGAAUGCCCGAAGCCAGUGACCUAACCGAAAGGAAGGAGCUGUCGAAGGCAGGCUCGAUAACUGGGGUG
rnacentral:rRNA from 1 species